UGGUGGCUUCCACCACCGCGACAUGAUCGCCCCCACUAACGACCUCCCGCAUUCCGAACGUCACUUCUACCCUUCGGGGUCGAGCCAUGAAAUGCCCCUUGCGUCGCUAACUCGAUACUCCUUCCGCACUCGUGCACCGAAGACGAUCAAGUGCAUCCACCGGUUGUCCCGAGGGAAUCCAGGAAAAAGGGACGACAACGGGCACGGCAAAAAGGUUGAGGGCGCGAUAGCAGGAACUGGCAACCGGAAACUGGCAUCGUGAACCGCAUGUCUAGCGGCAAGAUAAAUCGCUCGCCACAGAAGCACGAUUAAUCGUAACCGGUGGAAUCAUAAUGGACAUUAUCGUCUGGCCAAGUGCAAAACCGGGCCACCGAGAGAUGCGACACGCACCAAAUGGCGUCCCUAUUGAUCAACAAUAUAAGCGGUGACGCAGAUUCGGAACCGUGGAACCGAGCAAGAGCAUUUCCGUCGCGUGGGCGUGCUAGUCGCCGUUCAUCCGAAGGAGAAACGCGGAAAUGCGAAUGCCGGGCGCGCCUGCCAGCUCGCACGAUUUGCGGAAGACACACAGGCGACGUUUUGCAACCGCCGCCUAUGCAGUCUAUUAAACAUAGAUAGGAGUACCGCAUUGCCGUGAAUCGGCGCGAGGUAGUGUUAGAGGUUUACUGUGCGCCAUGUCUCUCCCUGCACCAGGGGUUCUCCAAGAACCACCCAAAAUCGUUUCCCCAAUUCUGCUUGUUGUUUGCCGAGUACCUGUGUUGCGUCAAACUUUAAUUAAAGCAGAACAUUGGCUUUAAUUGGAUAAAUCACCGCGUGGUCUCCUUUACAUUCACUCACUUUGGUUACAAUUCUUAACCAAUUCCAAAACAAAUUUAUCACGAGCAUUGAACAAAUAUUUUUUUAUUAACAAGUAAUUACGUAGAAUAUUUAUUUCAAGAGCAUGGUAUUCCGAAAAUAUUACCAAAAGUGACCGGUAAUUUCGUUCCCUCAUUGCAAUUCUGCCUGUUUUAGCAUAUGCGUGACGCGAGACUGGAUAUUCAUGACGCUCAGUGUCAGAUAAGCGAUAACAUGCCAUUUCGAGAGAACCACUGAGACACAAACGGCCGUGCAGACAUUGCACAGACUCUACGUACUGACACUACAGGUACGGACAUGCUAUAUAGACGCAUUGUGCACAGUGAUAAUAACGAAGCUCAGUUGCGAGUCGGCGUCAGGUCGCAGCCUCGCUCUUGCCCUCGGCCUCGUUCGUUAUUCUUAACGUCAUCACGGCCGCAGUCAAAUCUAUGCGUGUCUACCACCCUCCCUCACAUGCACACCCCCGGCUUCUUCACGCCAGCCUAUAUACAUCGCCCAUGCAUCCGGCAGUUCGUACUUUCUUUAGCAUUUCACCCCUUCCGCCACCCAUUCGUCCCGAUUUAGCGUCCGCUAUCCAUCAGUUCCUACCUUUUUAGGAGAAACGUGAGCGCGACUUCGCGCGCGGAUUCCGCGUUGCAGAUGUGCGCGUCACAGCGUUGCGGAAACGCGCAAUCGACGCGAGUGGGUCGAAUCGGUUCGCCUUUCAUUUUCUCGUCUUCAACACCGCACGGAUUUUAAGGGCACCUGGGGUACCCUUCGUGUAAAACACACCAUUUAGAAAAUCACUUUAUUGAUUGUAAAUGAUGACAGCGUCAUUUCUCUUACACCAGUUAUUACGCGAUUUACAUUUCCUGUCAUGCACAACACACGUCGCGCCUAUUUAUAGAAAUUCUUACACGCACGAGCUAUUAUGCCAGGAAACGUGAGGACAUCUCAUUUAAAUACAUCAAAUAUAUCAGGUGCAUUGAUUAUUUAUCAUAUUAAAUUUACUUCGGGGAUAAAAACUGAGAGUAAGAGAGAGAGAUUACAAAAUUGAUGCUGAUUCGUAUCAAAAUUUGGGACUCAUACAGUCUAUUUGUUAUAUCCUCACUAAAACGAUCAUGCUCAAUUGAUGUAUGAGAAAAAUUAUACAUCUGCAUUUGGCACUUGGAUAUAACGGAAGUACGCGCGAAGGCGUACGUGUUUGAGAUGGCUAAGCCCAAUACCGUGGGGAGCGAAUAACGGAGCGCGAUCUCGCUUUCGCGCGUACUCCCGAGCGGGUCGCAACAGGUGCUUAGACAAAAGAUACGGUCUAACCGGUGUGGUAGGAUUCAGAAAAGCUUCGUCGCGCCCAAUCGACCCUUUUCCUUCUAUGACGGACAUAAUGAGGAUCCGACGGGCGCUUCUUACGCCAGAAGCGCCGGUGCCCGCUUUCAAGUCGCGCCCGCGCCUCACCUUCAUCCUGCCCGUUUACUGCCAGUCGGGAUGAAUUAUUUCUGCGGCUUGGAAAUUGUACUAAACUCACGUCGCCUCUGAGGAACGAAUAGAAACCGCUGCUGCGGAAUGCCACGUGGCAAGCUUUCGCAAACACGUAGAUGGGCUAAGAAAUACGGUUGUUCACACCGUUACAGUUAGAGGCAGUCGUUUGAGAAAUGUACUUUUGUAAGUUAUACACAAAGGCAGAUCUGCGACGAACGUUUAAGGGAGAGAGAAAUGCAGCUGGCGGAACGAUCAUUCGUAAUAUCCUCUAGUGCUUUCAAAUCCGCUCGAUAAUCACGAUAAUUGUUAACAACUGUAAUUUACAAUGUUGACAGCAAUGAAUAAAAGUCGGAACCUACUUAAGA